rnacentral:misc_RNA from 1 species
UACAGAGGGGGCAAGCGUUGUACGGAAUUACCGGGCGCAAAGCGCACGCAGGCGGUCUGUCAAGUCGGAUGUGAAAUCCCCGGGCUCAACCUGGGAACUGCAUCCGAAACUGGCAGGCUAGAGUCUUGUAGCGGGGGGUAGAAUUCCAGGUGUAGCGGUGAAAUGCGUAGAGAUCUGGAGGAAUACCGGUGGCGAAGGCGGCCCCCUGGACAAAGACUGACGCUCAGGUGCGAAAGCGUGGGGAGCAAACAGG